rnacentral:rRNA from 1 species
UACGUAGGGCGCAAGCGUUAUCCGGAAUUAUUGGGCGUAAAGAGCUCGUAGGCGGUUUGUCGCGUCUGCCGUGAAAGUCCGGGGCUCAACUCCGGAUCUGCGGUGGGUACGGGCAGACUAGAGUGAUGUAGGGGGAGACUGGAAUUCCUGGUGUAGCGGUGAAAUGCGCAGAUAUCAGGAGGAACACCGGUGGCGGAGGCGCCACUCUGGGCCGAAACUGACGCUGAGGCGCGAAAGCGUGGGGAGCGAACAGG